CGCGCCCCUCCAUGCGCAGUGUCCCGUGCCGCAGCUUGUUCCCGUGUUGUGCUCUGUGUCCCCUGCUGCCUUCCGUCCUGGCAGUCGGCUAAGUCACUGCAGGGGCACGCUCGGAGCGUACUCUGCGCGUCGCUCCCAAGGCUUGAGAUUUUUCGCUCAAGCAGGGGAAACUGAAGCAUCUGUUAUACGGGGCCUCGGCCUCCUGGGGCUUGUGGUUCCCGGGCCUCUGCCGCACCACGCUUGCCAUCCCCAAGCGGUGUCGUGGCCGUCUCUACCUCCUGGGAAGGACCCACAUCCGGCCCUCGGGACUUGGGGGGUUCGAAGCCCGGAAUUUGCUUGUCGCUUGUCUGUACGGGGCCUUUCUGCUUUGUGGCCUCUCAGAGGUGGAUGCAAACUACUUGGUGGCGCUGCUGAUUCUGCAGCACCCAGUGCCCGCUGCCCUCCGUGCUCCAGGGACAGGAUGUCCCGGGUGUCAUGGGAGUUGUCAUGUCAGGAACACCUGACUGCUGCUACCUCAGCCAAUGACCAGCCCAGCCCGAUUUUCUUGAUUUCAAAAACAAAGUGAUAAAUAUUUUUCCAGUGUUCCUGACCAAGUUGACUUCUUUCUGGUUCCCUGUGGCAGAGUGGUGCUUUGGGGAUUUUGCCACUAUGGAAGUUCUAUGCUUAGCUGGACUGUUUUCUUGGAUGUGACCCCAGUGUCAUUGAGGGGUCUUGCUGCGUUGCCCAGGCUGGUCUCAAACUGGACUUCAGCAAUUGUCCCACCUCCGCCUCUCCAGUGCUGGGACUAUUGUGGAAUGCACCACACCUGGCUGCAUAAUGGGUUCCUGCUGGCUCAUACCACUGGAGGUUCAGAGCCUGUGGAAGGUUGCUGCGCUGGAUCUGGAGAUUGCUGAAAGAAUGUCAGGAUGUUCACAUGGGGUUCCGGCUCCCCUGAAGGGAUCUCCUCAUGGUGAAUUACUGCCAAGAAGCUAAGUCAGCCUUUGGUUCCUCCUGAGGAGAAAAUCAUCAGCCAGGCCAUAGGCCUUGUGUGACUUUCUCCCUUAGUUGGUUGUGAUGUUGACCAUGGACACUGGCAUAGCAGAGUGGAGUGACAUCAUUAUCUAGACCUUAGUGCAGUGACCUCUACACAACAUGGAGCACCUUUUUACUCAGUAUAAACAGGUAGAGGGGAAGCCCUGGAAUGUGGGGACUUGGGGUCCAGAGGUGCAGACCUUCCACCUGGUUCUACCCCAUGCCAACAUAGCCAAAGGAUAUCAUAGAUGGGAAUACUGGCUUGCUUUUUUCUGGCCAGCCUCCAGUCUUGCCUACUUCUGGUGUAACUUUCAGAUGCAAGAGAUCCUUGUGAAGUUUUCUGUACUGCUGUCUUCUUGUCUACCUCAAUAAAUUUUGAUGAACAAAGAAU